rnacentral:rRNA from 1 species
AGGGAAUCUUCCGCAAUGGGCGAAAGCCUGACGGAGCAAUGCCGCGUGAGUGAUGAAGGUUUUCGGAUCGUAAAGCUCUGUUGCCAGGGAAGAACGCUUAGGAGAGUAACUGCUCCUGAGGUGACGGUACCUGAGAAGAAAGCCCCGGCUAACUACGUGCCAGCAGCCGCGGUAAUACGUAGGGGGCAAGCGUUGUCCGGAAUUAUUGGGCGUAAAGCGCGCGCAGGCGGUCAUUUAAGUCUGGUGUUUAAUCCCGGGGCUCAACCCCGGAUCGCACUGGAAACUGGGUGACUUGAGUGCAGAAGAGGAGAGUGGAAUUCCACGUGUAGCGGUGAAAUGCGUAGAUAUGUGGAGGAACACCAGUGGCGAAGGCGACUCUCUGGGCUGUAACUGACGCUGAGGCGCGAAAGCGUGGGGAGCAAAC